rnacentral:rRNA from 1 species
AGUGAACGCUGGCGGUAGGCCUAACACAUGCAAGUCGAACGGCAGCACAGUAAGAGCUUGCUCUUACGGGUGGCGAGUGGCGGACGGGUGAGGAAUACAUCGGAAUCUACUUUUUCGUGGGGGAUAACGUAGGGAAACUUACGCUAAUACCGCAUACGACCUACGGGUGAAAUCAGGGGAUCUUCGGACCUUUCGCGAUUGAAUGAGCCGAUGUCGGAUUAGCUAGUUGGCGGGGUAAAGGCCCACCAAGGCGACGAUCCGUAGCUGGUCUGAGAGGAUGAUCAGCCACACUGGAACUGAGACACGGUCCAGACUCCUACGGGAGGCAGCAGUGGGGAAUAUUGGACAAUGGGCGCAAGCCUGAUCCAGCCAUACCGCGUGGGUGAAGAAGGCCUUCGGGUUGUAAAGCCCUUUUGUUGGGAAAGAAAAGCAGCAGGUUAAUACCCCGCUGUUCUGACGGUACCCAAAGAAUAAGCACCGGCUAACUUCGUG